rnacentral:rRNA from 1 species
AACGAACGCUGGCGGCAGGCCUCAAACAUGCAAGUCUAGGGGGUGUAGCAAUACAUCACCGGCGGACGGGUGCGUAACGCGUGGGAAUAUACCUAUUGGUUCGGAACAACACAGGGAAACUUGUGCUAAUACCGAAUGUGCCCUUACGGGGAAAGAUUUAUCGCCAAUGGAUUAGCCCGCGUCCGAUUAGCUAGUUGGUGAGGUAACGGCUCACCAAGGCUCCGAUCGGUAGCUGUUCUGAGAGGAAGAUCAGCCACACUGGGACUGAGACACGGCCCAGACUCCUACGGGAGGCAGCAGUGGGGGAAUAUUGGACAAUGGGCGAAAGCCUGAUCCAGCAAUGCCGCGUGAGUGAUGAAGGCCUUAGGGUUGUAAAGCUCUUUUACCCGGGAUGAUAAUGACAGUACCGGGAGGAAUAAGACCCCGGCGUAACCUCCGUGCCAGCAGCCGCGGUAA